UACGAAGGGGGGCUAGCGUUGCUCGGAAUCACUGGGCGUAAAGCGCACGUAGGCGGACUCUUAAGUCGGUGGUGAAAUCCUGGAGCUCAACUCCAGAACUGCCUUCGAUACUGGGAGUCUCGAGUCCGGGAGAGGUGAGUGGAACUGCGAGUGUAGAGGUGAAAUUCGUAGAUAUUCGCAAGAACACCAGUGGCGAAGGCGGCUCACUGGUCCGGUACUGACGCUGAGGUGCGAAAGCGUGGGGAGCAAACAGG
rnacentral:rRNA from 1 species